UACAGGGGGGGCAAGUAUUAUUCUACAUGACUGGGCGUAAAGGAUGUCUAGGUGGUUUUUCAAAUUUUUAAAGAAAUCCUAUAUAAAAAUUAUAGAUAUUUUAAAAAUACUAAAAAACUUGAGUUUAUAGAAGAUAAUAGAACUAUCGACAGUAAAUGUGGAAAGUUUAGAGACUCAUAGGACUUCCAAAUAGCGAAAGCAAUUAUCUUGUUAAAACUGACACUAAAGCAUGAAGGCGUGGGGACCAAACAGG
rnacentral:rRNA from 1 species